GAACUCGAACUAAUUCUACUCUUCACAGAAUUAAACUCCAAUUAUUUUAAAAUUGGACUUUAAUUAAAUUUAAUAAAACUAAUUUUAAACUGCUGACUGUGUUAGUCUCGCCAGCAAAUUUUAAAUUAGAAUAAUCAUAGCGAUAAGAAUUAACGCUCACUAUCAGAUAGCUUAAGAUCUUUCGGCAACAAACUUUAAAAUUGAGCUACAAAAUGCCAAACUACGUUUUAGAGGUGGCUAAACGCCAAAACAACAAUUAUAAUAAUGACAUCCAAAUAUAUCCAUGCCAUGGGCGAGCCCAUUUUUCCUUAAAAGUUCGCAAUGAUAUACAAAGCAAGACUAUGUUUUUAGUAAGCACCGCAAAAGCACAGUUCCAAAAUUUACAUGAACACGUCCUCAAUUAUCUCAUUAAGCUAGAGGGCUAGUAUACACUCUUCGACCAUUCAAGUUGGACCUCAGUCUAUAAUUUCAUGGAAACGACUCUGCUCAUCUUUCAACACUUUCAGUAAGCACCUAACUAACAAAGCAUAAUAGAUGAUCACCAGUAUUAUCUAUUACAAAGCAAAUAUUGGGAAGAGUACCUAACAUAUCGGGACAUUUUCAAGGCGAUGUUUUCUUUUCUAGACUUUUACUGGCACCACAUCGGAGAUCAUUAUUCAACCUAAAAGGACAAAACACUCACUAUUAUGCGUAUCCACACACUGACACCCCCAAGUUGCCAAAACUUUUCAGUGACUGACGUAUGGUAAUGCCAAAGGAAAAUUAAGAAAUGGUCAUCAAACCUUUGAUAUGGAAUGAUCGAUAAUUUAAGACACUUCGAGUCAUCCUUUUUGUAACCUUGCAGCUGAAUGACCUCACAGAAAGAGUAACUUGAUAAAAUAACAAGCAAGCUCCAUAAGAUAGGCAGAGGGUGGACAUAAAGGAGCAUCACAUCACAUCUAUUACUUUAGCUAACUAUAAACCAAAAUUCAUAAUGCGUAGUUUUUAUUAUAUGCCAGCAAGCAUAUUAAUGAUAAUUGAAGAUAUCAACUAGCCGUAAAAUCCUACAACUUUAUUUAGCAUGCUUGACUGAACUUAAUACAGAAAAAUAGUUCAACAAGCUGCUUCUUCACAAGAUCUUUUGAUUUUGACGAAAGUCAGAUACAGUUUAUCAUAUGCUUUUGGAGUUAUUCUUAUACUAGAAUUAAAGUAUCACUUCGGUAACAUGGUAACAUAUAGAUUUUUUUAAUGCACAACUUUGUUAGAGGUGAACUCUAACUUAUGGGAGCCUGGAACCAAAAUCAUUUAAGGAACUAUAUCUAAGUUUUACCCAAAUGAUUUUCUAACAUGAAGUCCUAAUACCAACAAACCACAAAUUUAAUUAUUCAAGGGUCACGUGUUACUUAAAAGUGCAAGCCUUGGUCCUCCCUUUGUAGUCCUUCAAUCCUUACCAGUUGAAUCAUUUGACAAUUAAGCAAUGAAUAUAGGUAUAUAUAGGAGAUUCAUAAAUCAGCCAAGUAAUAUGCCCAUGUUAUUGAGACGGCUAACAAAAACAACAUUUGCUCUAAUAGUUCAACAUGCUUUUAGAUCGAUUCCAAUUAGAUUAUUGAUCAAUUGACUUUAUUACUUCAAUUUGACAGAAGCAAGAAACAUUAUUUACGCGAAAAAAGUUUGUGCAUCAUAACCAAACCAAGCAAUUCCAAAAAAAAAAAAAGAGCGAAUUACCUCAGAAUUAUCAAAAACAGAUCAAAUACAGACUUUGAAAUUUCUAUCGAAAAUUAUUGCUAUUGAAGAAAAUAAAAGCGAUCGCAGUGGGAUUCGAACCCACGACCUUUAGAUCCGGAGUCUAACGCGAUAUCCACUCCGCUAUGCGAUCGUUACACGAAAGUUACCAAAUGAAAAUUUCAAGAAGACCUCCGACAUUCAUAUGAGCAUCGUCAUGCAGAUCUAACAAGUGAAAGGGAAAGGAAAUCUAUCGUAUGACUCCAUUAUUCUUAAGGAAAUUAAGAAAUAAAGAAAAACUAAAUGGCAUAUGAAAACAAAAAUGGCGAAGACGAAAGAGAAUGAAGAUCGACACAUAGCAACUACAUGCACAUAAAUUUAUAAAUUGAUGGAAUCGAAAAUCUAGCAUUGGUAGCGCGAGCGAGAGGAAGAGAGAAAUUAGGUUACCUGGUAGUUUUCUUGUGAGUUUUCUCUCCCACGAUGAAACCAACCGUGUGAUCCUCUUGUUUUAUUGUAUAACUCACUACGGCGUGCGUGGGCCUAACAAGAUUAAUUGCAAUCUCGAUCAAACUUAUACUUAACCAUGCGGCCCACAUCAACACGCGGUUAAUUCUUUUCUCAACCCCACGUGUCAUCCAGCACGUG
rnacentral:lncRNA from 1 species